UACAGAGGUCUCAAGCGUUGUUCGGAAUUACUGGGCGUAAAGCGCACGUAGGCGGCUUUGUAAGUUAGAGGUGAAAGCCCGGGGCUCAACUCCGGAAUUGCCUUUAAGACUGCAUCGCUAGAAUUGUGGAGAGGUAAGUGGAAUUCCGAGUGUAGAGGUGAAAUUCGUAGAUAUCGAGAGGAACACCGGUGGCGAAGGCGGCCAACUGGACGAAUACUGACGCUGAGACUCGAAAGCGUGGGGAGCAAACAGG
rnacentral:rRNA from 1 species